rnacentral:rRNA from 1 species
AUACGUAGGGUGCAAGCGUUAGUCGGAAUUACUGGGCGUAAAGCGUGCGCAGGCGGUUUUGUAAGACAGUGGUGAAAUCCCCGGGCUCAACCUGGGAACUGCCAUUGUGACUGCAAGGCUGGAGUGCGGCAGAGGGGGGUGGAAUUCCGCGUGUAGCAGUGAAAUGCGUAGAUAUGCGGAGGAACACCGAUGGCGAAGGCAAUCCCCUGGGCCUGCACUGACGCUCAUGCACGAAAGCGUGGGGAGCAAACAGGAUUAGAUACCCUGGUAGUCCACGCCCUAAACGAUGUCAACUGGUUGUUGGGGAUUUAUUUUCUCAGUAACGAAGCUAACGCGUGAAGUUGACCGCCUGGGGAGUACGGCCGCAAGGUUAAAACUCAAAGGAAUUGACGGGG